rnacentral:rRNA from 1 species
AACGAACGCUGGCGGCAGGCUUAACACAUGCAAGUCGAGCGCCCCGCAAGGGGAGCGGCAGACGGGUGAGUAACGCGUGGGAAUCUACCCCUCUCUACGGAAUAACGCAUGGAAACGUGUGCUAAUACCGUAUACGUCCUUACGGAUGAAGAUUUAGCGGAGAUGGAUGGGCCCGCGUUGGAUUAGCUAGUUGGGGGGGUAAAGGCCUACCAAGGCGACGAUCCAUAGCUGGUCUGAGAGGAUGAUUAGCCACACUGGGACUGAGACACGGCCCAGACUCCUACGGGAGGCAGCAGUGGGGAAUAUUGGACAAUGGGCGCAAGCCUGAUCCAGCCAUGCCGCGUGAGUGAUGAAGUCCCUAGGGUUGUAAAGCUCUUUCACCGGUGAAGAUAAUGACGGUAACCGGAGAAGAAGCCCCGGCUAACUUCGUGCCAGCAGCCGCGGUAAAAC